rnacentral:rRNA from 1 species
GAGUUUGAUCUUGGCUCAGAUUGAACGCUGGCGGCAGGCCUAACACAUGCAAGUCGGGCGGUAGAGAGAAGCUUGCUUCUCUUGAGAGCGGCGGACGGGUGAGUAAUGCCUAGGAAUCUGCCUGGUAGUGGGGGAUAACGCUCGGAAACGGACGCUAAUACCGCAUACGUCCUACGGGAGAAAGCAGGGGACCUUCGGGCCUUGCGCUAUCAGAUGAGCCUAGGUCGGAUUAGCUAGUUGGUGAGGUAAUGGCUCACCAAGGCGACGAUCCGUAACUGGUCUGAGAGGAUGAUCAGUCACACUGGAACUGAGACACGGUCCAGACUCCUACGGGAGGCAGCAGUGGGGAAUAUUGGACAAUGGGCGAAAGCCUGAUCCAGCCAUGCCGCGUGUGUGAAGAAGGUCUUCGGAUUGUAAAGCACUUUAAGUUGGGAGGAAGGCAGUAAAUUAAUACUUUGCUGUUUGACGUUACGACAGAAUAAGCACCGGCUAACUCUGUGCCAGCCG